rnacentral:rRNA from 1 species
AUGCGCCUUUUAUUAGUAGCUGCGGAUUUAUAUUUAGCAAGUGAAGUGGUGAUGGUAAAGCUCGACAAUUUUUUGUUUGUUUGUGUAACCUGGAAGAAUGAUUUGGAUGAAUGGCCCUAUAGAACAAGGCUCCCUCCCUGUGUGUACAUUCUUUACUGUGUCUGUUGGGUUACUUACCAUGCUACGGUGUACAGCCCUGUCCUGGAUGGAUGGCUGGGGGUCCGAAUACCUGCCCUGUGCUGUGCAAAAAACAUCCAAAUUUGGCACUUGUUUGCAUCCGAAUCGGGCAGAUUUGUUCAAAGUAACAUCCUGCAAAAGUCAUGA